rfam:Blumeria graminis f. sp. tritici 96224 unplaced genomic scaffold Scaffold-276, whole genome shotgun sequence.
UAACAUGAUGAACUGGCACUGGGCUCCGACAAAAUGAAGGAUACGCCUAUCUGUGGCAGGCUUAGAAACCCUAGCCCUCUGAUA